rnacentral:rRNA from 1 species
GUUUGAUCCUGGCUCAGGACGAACGCUGGCGGCGUGCUUAACACAUGCAAGUCGAACGGAAAGGCCCUGCUUUUGUGGGGUGCUCGAGUGGCGAACGGGUGAGUAACACGUGGGCAACCUGCCCAAAAGAGGGGGAUAACACUUGGAAACAGGUGCUAAUACCGCAUAACCAUAGUUACCGCAUGGUAACUAUGUAAAAGGUGGCUAUGCUACCGCUUUUGGAUGGGCCCGCGGCGCAUUAGCUAGUUGGUGAGGUAAAGGCUUACCAAGGCAAUGAUGCGUAGCCGAACUGAGAGGUUGAUCGGCCACAUUGGGACUGAGACACGGCCCAGACUCCUACGGGAGGCAGCAGUGGGGAAUAUUGCACAAUGGGCGCAAGCCUGAUGCAGCGACGCCGCGUGAGGGAUGGAGGCCUUCGGGUUGUAAACCUCUUUUAUCGGGGAGCAAGCGAGAGUGAGUUUACCCGUUGAAUAAGCACCGGCUAACUACGUGCCAGCAGCCGCGGUAAUACGGAAGGUCCAGGCGUUAUCCGGAUUUAUUGGGUUUAAAGGGAGCGCAGGCGGACUCUUAAGUCAGUUGUGAAAUACGGCGGCUCAACCGUCGGACUGCAGUUGAUACUGGGAGUCUUGAGUGCACACAGGGAUGCUGGAAUUCAUGGUGUAGCGGUGAAAUGCUCAGAUAUCAUGAAGAACUCCGAUCGCGAAGGCAGGUAUCCGGGGUGCAACUGACGCUGAGGCUCGAAAGUGCGGGUAUCAAACAGGAUUAGAUACCCUGGUAGUCCACGCCGUAAACGAUGAAUGCUAAGUGUUGGAGGGUUUCCGCCCUUCAGUGCUGCAGCUAACGCAAUAAGCAUUCCGCCUGGGGAGUACGACCGCAAGGUUG